rnacentral:ncRNA from 2 species
CACUCUGACGGCGCCGAUUUGAUCCAGCUUGCGGGCGCCUUAAAAAUACGGCUAAAGCGGGUGACGACCCGUUUUG